GAACCUGCGGAAGGAUCAUUACCGAGUGCGGGUCUUUAUGGCCCAACCUCCCACCCGUGACUAUUGUACCUUGUUGCUUCGGCGGGCCCGCCAGCGUUGCUGGCCGCCGGGGGGCGACUCGCCCCCGGGCCCGUGCCCGCCGGAGACCCCAACAUGAACCCUGUUCUGAAAGCUUGCAGUCUGAGUGUGAUUCUUUGCAAUCAGUUAAAACUUUCAACAAUGGAUCUCUUGGUUCCGGCAUCGAUGAAGAACGCAGCGAAAUGCGAUAACUAAUGUGAAUUGCAGAAUUCAGUGAAUCAUCGAGUCUUUGAACGCACAUUGCGCCCCCUGGUAUUCCGGGGGGCAUGCCUGUCCGAGCGUCAUUGCUGCCCUCAAGCCCGGCUUGUGUGUUGGGCCCUCGUCCCCCGGCUCCCGGGGGACGGGCCCGAAAGGCAGCGGCGGCACCGCGUCCGGUCCUCGAGCGUAUGGGGCUUCGUCUUCCGCUCCGUAGGCCCGGCCGGCGCCCGCCGACGCAUUUGUUUGCAACUUGUUUUUUUCCAGG
rnacentral:rRNA from 1 species